UACGAAGGGUGCAAGCGUUACUCGGAAUUACUGGGCGUAAAGCGUGCGUAGGUGGUUUGUUAAGUCUGAUGUGAAAGCCCUGGGCUCAACCUGGGAAUUGCAUUGGAUACUGGCAGGCUAGAGCGCGGUAGAGGAUGGCGGAAUACCCCAAGUAGAGGUGAAAUUCGUAGAUAUGGGGUGGAACACCGGUGGCGAAGGCGGCCAUCUGGACGACAACUGACGCUGAGACGCGAAAGCGUGGGGAGCAAACAGG
rnacentral:rRNA from 1 species